AGUGAACGCUGGCGGUAGGCCUAACACAUGCAAGUCGAACGGCAGCACAGUAAGAGCUUGCUCUUACGGGUGGCGAGUGGCGGACGGGUGAGGAAUACAUCGGAAUCUACUUUUUCGUGGGGGAUAACGUAGGGAAACUUACGCUAAUACCGCAUACGACCUACGGGUGAAAGCAGGGGAUCUUCGGACCUUGCGCGAUUGAAUGAGCCGAUGUCGGAUUAGCUAGUUGGCGGGGUAAAGGCCCACCAAGGCGACGAUCCGUAGCUGGUCUGAGAGGAUGAUCGGCCACACUAGAACUGAGACACGGUCCAGACUCCUACGGGAGGCAGCAGUGGGGAAUAGUGGACAAUGGGCGCAAGCCUGAUCCAGCCAUACCGCGUGGGUGAAGAAGGCCUUCGGGUUGUAAAGCCCUUUUGUUGGGAAAGAAAAGCAGCAGGUUAAUACCCCGCUGUUCUGACGGUACCCAAAGAAUAAGCACCGGCUAACUUCGUG
rnacentral:rRNA from 1 species